rnacentral:misc_RNA from 1 species
ACACAAGCAUUUGGGUUCUCUUCCAUGCUCUGGACAUGAUAAUAAGUUGUCAAAUGAGGGUUAUAUGCUCUAUAAGCCUUAACCAUUUCCAUUACUGGGUCAGGUUGUUGCAUUUGCAUCGGCAUCUGCAUCGGCAUCGGCAUCGACAUCGGCAUCGGCAUUGGCACUGGCACUGCCAGUUGCGGUUGCUCUUUCUUCUUUUCUUCUUCCUUCUUCUCGCCUUCCUUCUUUGGCUCGUCUUUUUUGUCGUCCUCCUUCUUCGUCUCGUCUUUCUUCGCUUCAUCUUUUUUGGCUUCUCCUUCUUUCUUUGGCUCCUCCUUCUUGCCUUCUUCUUCUUUCUUUGCUUCCUCUUUUUUGGACUCUUCCUUCUUUGGCUCUACUGCUGGGCCUACUGAAAUUAUGUCUGUUGGCCAAUAUUUCCUCAGCUUGCUUACUACAUUCACUGGAUCCACUGUCCCAAUUACUGUUAGCUUCCUCUCUUUCAUGUCCAUGGCAAUUAAAUCAAUCCCUGAAAGUGUAGAGACUGUCUUCAAAGCCUUCUGCUUGGCUUUGUCAUCAUGUAAAUCCAAUUUCAAUAUGAACUUCUUCAUAGUUGGGUUGUUGAGUUAUUGAGAGAUGGAUGGAUGAAGAUUGAA